CGUAUCCGCCGCCCGUCAGACGCCCCGCCAGGGCUUGGUGCGGCAAUGAAGUUUCGUGCCAAAAUCGUGGACGCUGCCUGCCUGAAUCAGUUCACGCGAGUCAGUAACAUGAUAGCCAAGCUUGCGAAAACCUGCACCCUCCGAAUCAGCCCCAAUAAGCUGAACUUCAUCCUUUCUGAUAAACUGGCCAGUGGAGGAGUGAGCAUGUGGUGUGAGCUGGAGCAGGAGAACUUUUUCAGCGAAUUUCAAAUGGAGGGUGUUUCGGCAGAAAACAAUGAGAUUUAUUUAGAGCUAACAUCGGAAAACUUAUCUCGAGCUUUGAAAACUACCCAGAAUGCCAGAUCCUUGAAAAUCAAGCUGACUAAUAAACACUUUCCCUGCCUCACAAUCUCUGUAGAGCUGUUAUCUGUGUCAAGCAGUAGUCGCAUUGUGACCCAUGACAUCCCCAUAACGAUUAUUCCUAGAAGAUUGUGGAAGGACUUACAAGAACCCUCAGUCCCAGAUUCUGAUGUGAGUAUUUAUUUGCCAGUCUUGAAGACUAUGAGGAGUGUUGUAGAAAAAAUGAAAAAUAUCAGCAAUCAUCUUAUUAUUGAAGCAAACCUAAAUGGAGAUUUGAACUUGAAGAUAGAAACUGAAUUAGUAUGUAUUACAACUCAUUUUAAAGAUCUUGGAAAUCCUCCAUUAGCCUCUGAAAAUACUUCUCAGAACAGAAACCCAGAAGAGAUGGCUGAGGUGCACAUAGAUAUCAAGAAGCUCCUCCAAUUUCUUGCUGGACAGCAGGUGAAUCCUACAAAGGCCAUAUGCAGUCCUGUACAUAUAGCAUUACCCAGCUGAGCCAGUUUGGUAAUCACAUGCAACAUGCAUGGCUCUGAAAGAUGCUGAAUCCCACGUCUGAAUACCCAGUGAUAGAUUCUGCUUCUUCCCAGCCACCUAAUAUUGGAUUACCCAAAGCAGCUUCACCAUCUGGGGCUUCACCAAUCUCUGGAGCAUGUAAUCUUGUCAAAUCAGGAAUGUGAUACUAGUGUGACUCUUGGAUGUUAUUUGUCCUCAAAGACAAAAGGUGAACCUCCCUCCCUAUUAAACAUAUCUAAAAUAACCAAGAGAAACAGUGGCCACUUUACCCCAGCUCUGUGGGGGAAGCUUAAAGGAACCAUGCCCAACCAGGGGCGCUUACCGUGAGUCUGUUAUGCAUAUUCUCACAUUAUAUACGUGAUCUAGUAGCAUAGGUUUCUCAAGAAGACUUUAAUCAGAAUUUAUGAUAUGUCGGACCAAAUAAUACUUGUUCACUCCAUGUGGAAAAAACACUCUAGACAAAAAGAAAAAAGCGGGGAAGCAAGGCUGGCAGGUGGGGGUGAGCACAGGAAUCAAGAGGAUAAAGAGAGUUGUUCACAAAUCAAAUUAAAAAUAUGUGCUUCAGAUGAAAUUAUGGCAUUUGCAAGUACUUGGAUCAAGC